rnacentral:rRNA from 1 species
AGGAUGAACGCUGGCGGUCUGCUUAACACAUGCAAGUCGAACGGAGUAGCAAUACUUAGUGGCGGACGGGUGAGUAACGCGUGAGAAUCUACCUUCAGGACGGAGACAACAGUUGGAAACGACUGCUAACCCCCGAUGUACCGAAAGGGCAAAUAUUUAUAGCCUGAAGAAGAGCUCGCGUCCGAUUAGCUAGUUGGAGAGGUAAAAGCUCACCAAGGCGACGAUCGGUAGCUGGUCUGAGAGGACGAUCAGCCACACUGGGACUGAGACACGGCCCAGACUCCUACGGGAGGCAGCAGUGGGAAUUUCCGCAAUGGGCGAAAGCCUGACGGAGCAAGACCGCGUGGGGGAAGAAGGCUCUUGGGUUGUAAACCCCUUUUCUCUGGGAAGAACGCAAUGACGGUACCAGAGGAAUCAGCAUCGGCUAACUCCGCGCCAGCAGCCGC